AAGAAAGGGCAUUCCAGCUGUCCAGCAGUCACUGAGCUGCCUGGGAAACACCUUUAUCAGGCUUCCCAGGAAAAGCUGCAUUUACAACACUCCCCAAAUGAAGUGACACCAAGGAAUGUGAUCUCUGCCCUCAGGAGAUGAGGAGCUGGAGGAGGUGAAGGCACAGCCAAAGGCAUUGCUGCCUGUUAAUUACCAGUCCCAGGUCUCCAGACUUCUUAAAGCCAAAAGCUCUGCCAAUACCAGCAUUCCUUAGUGGCUUCCAAAAGGCUGGAAACAGCCUCAUCCAAUCCUGCACCUCAGGCUGUUCUCAGUAGGAUAAAAUCACUACUCAGGGAGUAUUUCUGCUUUUUUUUCCUUUUACGAGCAGGAACUGCUGUUCCCACACAGACUUUAAAAGCUCAAAUUCUGCCUAAUUUCUUUCAGAAAGCAAAAUCCAUAGUGUGGCUCCACUCUUCAAACAGCAGCAGGAAGAAGAGCCUCCCAAAAGCUGCUGCAUGCAGUGGAGGUCACUUCCUUGGCAGCAUCAGCUCUACCUGCAGCCCACAGCAAGUGCAGAAGAAGGAAUGGUGCCAAGUGGGCAGCUCAAAGCCUGUUAGAGGGGAAGAAAUCCUCUUCCAGAAAAGCCACGUGUUCCCUGCAGGUCUCUCCAACUCUCCCCUGUCUGGUUGUACAAGAUACACCAAUUUUCUAGAGGCUCUCCAGGCAAAGGCAGAUGAAGAGGUUGUGCUGGUAAUUCCUCAGUGUGGAAAAUCUCCUGUCCAGGGCUCCAAAUGCCUCACCUUGUCCAAGGAAUAAGCUGUCCAAGAAGUUCCACCUCCCAGGAUAUAAAUCCGUUGACCAUCGUGAGCAAUUUCAUGUCUGUACCUGAAGGUGCAAAGCAGCACAAUUAGAAACAACAAAAAACCUGCCGAAAUCACCAACAAAUUCCAGGGAUUUCAGCAGAAACUGCCAAGCCUGGCUCUGCUGCAUCAGUCCCUUGGGCUGGGAGCAUUCAGGAGAUGAGGGAAUUUUCCUGAGCCCUCCAAGCAGAAGUCUGAAAGGCAUUUUCUGAUUGCAGAGCAAUUAUUAAAUAAUUAAGUGUAAGGAUUAGUGAAUACCAGGACAGCCAGCAAUAUUCCAGCUCCUUCCAAGGGAAGUGUCCAAGGCCAGGCUGGACAGGGCUUGGAGCAACCUGGGAUAGUGAAAAGUGUCCCAGCCCAUGGCAGGGGGGUGGAAUUAGAUUUAUUUUAAGAUUCCUAUGAACCCAAACCAUUCUGGGAUUCUUCCAUUCCCUGUUCUCAUCUGGACACCAAACCAUGGAUGAGAGUGACCAAAAUCCUUCCUCCCAAUGCCACAACAACUCCCAGGCAAAGCAGGGCUGGAAAUGCCAACCAGAGCAAGGUAUCCCAAAUCUUCCCACUCCCUGCCUCCCAAAACAGCUCCCUGAGCUGCCCAGGGGCUCACCUCUC